AGUACGUGAAACCGUUUGGAGGUAAACGGGUGGAACCGCAAAGUCCGGCCUUGCCAUUCAACGCUGGGGCUUGCAGAGCUCGGGGCGUCCGGAUCUUCUGGAACGGCGCCUCGUCCUCCUGCGGCCUCGGCGUGCACUUGGCUUGGCUGGAGCGCCACGACCGGUUUCCUGGCUGCCAGAAGGGCCCCGCGGAAGGUAGCUCGUCCUCCGGGGCGAGUGUUAUAGCCGCUGGGGUCUUGGCGGCCUGGGGGACCGAGGUACCAUGGCCCGCGCCCGCCCUUGUGGCACGGUUAGGCGGCGCAAAGUGGCGGCCGGCCAUGGGGGGGACUGCUCGCAGUGCCCUCUUGGUCAGCUGUUGCUUCUGUGUCGCCUCCUCCGAGAGGCGUCUGAGGUCGGUGGCGAAUCCGUCGGCCGUCCACCCGACCCGUCUUGAAACACGGACCAAGGAGUCUAACAUGUGCGCGAGUCAUGGGGUUGCACGAAACCCAAAGGCGCAAUGAAAGUGAAGCCGCAAGGUGAGGUGGGAUGCCCCUUCCGGGGGCCGCACCACCGGCCCGUCA
rnacentral:rRNA from 1 species